AUUGAGCGCUGGCGGCAGGCCUAACACAUGCAAGUCGAACGGUAACAGGGAUCAGCUUGCUGAUUCGCUGACGAGUGGCGGACGGGUGAGUAAUGUCUGGGAAACUGCCUGAUGGAGGGGGAUAACUACUGGAAACGGUAGCUAAUACCGCAUAACGUCGCAAGACCAAAGAGGGGGACCUUCGGGCCUCUUGCCAUCGGAUGUGCCCAGAUGGGAUUAGCUAGUAGGUGGGGUAACGGCUCACCUAGGCGACGAUCCCUAGCUGGUCUGAGAGGAUGACCAGCCACACUGGAACUGAGACACGGUCCAGACUCCUACGGGAGGCAGCAGUGGGGAAUAUUGCACAAUGGGCGCAAGCCUGAUGCAGCCAUGCCGCGUGUAUGAAGAAGGCCUUCGGGUUGUAAAGUACUUUCAGCGGGGAGGAAGGGAGUAAAGUUAAUACCUUUGCUCAUUGACGUUACCCGCAGAAGAAGCACCGGCUAACUCCGUG
rnacentral:rRNA from 1 species